rnacentral:rRNA from 1 species
GACGAACGCUGGCGGCGUGCUUAACACAUGCAAGUCGAACGAAGUGGCGAACGGGUGAGUAACGCGUAAUCAACCUGCCCUUCAGCGGGGGACAACAGUUGGAAACGACUGCUCAUACCGCAUACUGAAGGAGGGGAUUGCGUCUGAUUAGGUAGUUGGAGGGGGAACGGCCCACCAAGGCGAUGGUCAGUAGCCGGGCCGGAGGGGGGAACGGCCAAAACUGGACUGGGAACCGGCCCAGACUCUUAGGGAGGGAGCAGGUGGGAAUUGUUCGCCAUGGGAGGAAGUCUGGCGGAGGAACGGCGGCGGGGGGGAGGCGGGUUUUGGGUUGGAAAGAUCUGUUAGUCGGGGAGCGGUACCUAAAUAGAAAGCCACGGCUAACUACGUGCCAGCAGCCGCGGUAAUAC